CAGUCCCAAGAAGGCGCCAGGGACUGCAGCUAAGUCUUAUGACUUGCACCUGACUUCCUCAUACACCUGAAAAUAAGCCAUGACCAUUGUGAGAGCUGCGCAGGUGCACCAUGAUGCUGGCGGUUUAAACAAGUCCAUAUUUGGUGGAGACGCACCCCUGCUGCCCUGAUUGGCUGAAGCUGCGUGCCUGGUGAGUGUCAGGACGGUGUACAAGUGUUCAGCCUAAUCCAGGUGGGAUAUGGUGACCUCAAAUGCCAAUGACCUUGUCUUGUUCCUCUAGGCAGGUUGAAUUCAUCUGCCUGCUUCCAUAGGCUCCAUCCAGACUAAGCUCUACAGGAACUGCCACCGAGACAGAAGUCUCUCUUUCCUCAGUCACUUGGCCCAACUCAAAUAAGUCCAAAGGACAGAAGAGUAAUGUGUGAAGUAGGAGCCACAGGGCAGGAGACGCCAAACCAGAGGGGCUGGAACUCACCUGC
rnacentral:lncRNA from 1 species